rnacentral:rRNA from 1 species
AUUGAACGCUGGCGGCAUGCUUUACACAUGCAAGUCGAACGGUAACAGGCCGCAAGGUGCUGACGAGUGGCGAACGGGUGAGUAAUGCAUCGGAACGUGCCCAGUCGUGGGGGAUAACGCAGCGAAAGCUGUGCUAAUACCGCAUACGAUCUAUGGAUGAAAGCGGGGGACCGUAAGGCCUCGCGCGAUUGGAGCGGCCGAUGUCAGAUUAGGUAGUUGGUGGGGUAAAGGCUCACCAAGCCAACGAUCUGUAGCUGGUCUGGGAGGACGACCAGCCACACUGGGACUGAGACACGGCCCAGACUCCUACGGGAGGCAGCAGGGGGGAAUUUUGGACAAUGGGCGCAAGCCUGAUCCAGCCAUUCCGCGCGCAGGAUGAAGGCCCUCGGGUUGUAAACUGCUUUUGUACGGAACGAAAAGGUUUCCAUUAAUACUGGGAGCUCAUGACGGUACCGUAAGAAUAAGCACCGGCUAACUACGUGCCAGCCGCCGCAGUAA